ACACCACUUCUCCCUUUCCCCCGUAAAAAUCCUAUUUUCAGAUGUGCUAUUCAGGGUUUCCUUUUAGUCACAAAUUAAGUGUCAUCUUUUAAGAAGAGGGGGCUCCUUCUUAGUAAAAGAGCACCAAGAGUCCGCUCGGCACUCAUUUUUCAUUUUUGGUGUGAAGAAGAGAAGGGGGAUGUGGGGAAGA
ensembl:ncRNA T21E12.8 ncRNA